rnacentral:rRNA from 1 species
UACAGAGGUGGCAAGCGUUGUUCGGAAUGACUGGGCGUAAAGGGCGCGUAGGCGGUUUGCACAGUCAGGCGUGAAAUUCCUGGGCUUAACCUGGGGGCUGCGCUUGAUACGUGUGGACUGGAGUGCGGAAGAGGGUCGUGGAAUUCCCAGUGUAGAGGUGAAAAUUCGUAGAUAUUGGGAAGAACACCGGUGGCGAAGGCGGCGACCUGGUCCGUGACUGACGCUGAGGCGCGAAAGCGUGGGGAGCAAA